rnacentral:rRNA from 1 species
GACGAACCGAGCGAACGUUAUUCGGAAUCACUGGGCUUAAAGGGCGCGUAGGCGGGCGGCCGAGUCCGGGGUGAAAGCCCCCAGCUCAACUGGGGAAGUGCCUUGGAUACUGGUCGCCUCGAGGGAGAUAGGGGCGUGCGGAACUUCCGGUGGAGCGGUGAAAUGCGUAGAUAUCGGAAGGAACACCGGUGGCGAAAGCGGCGCGCUGGAUCUCUUCUGACGCUGAGGCGCGAAAGCCAGGGGAGCGAACGGG